rnacentral:lncRNA from 1 species
ACAUUUUGGUUUCUUCCAUAAUUUCUUGUCUAAUUUUUGAUGCUUUUAUCUAUGAUGAACACUGGACAUGAUUUGCUGGAGUAACAAACUGAUACAAGGGAAAUGCAGAGACACUUGGAUAGAAGACUGAAGCUUUAUUAGUGUUAUUGAUGCAAAACUAUGGUAUUUCUUAAAUUUAAGAUAUGGUAGGCCUAGGCUAUACAAAUUUUCUUCUUUUUACGGUUAUAAUUAGGGCCAUUGUAAGCUAUGAUGCGC